GCCGAAGUGGUGGAAUUGGCAGACACGCAGCACUUAGGAUGCUGUGCUCUAGGGCGUGCGGGUUCAAGUCCCGCCUUCGGCA
rnacentral:tRNA from 1 species